UCAGGCCUAACACAUGCAAGUCGAACGAAGUAGCAAUACUUAGUGGCAGACGGGUGAGUAACAUGUAGGUAUCUGCCCUUUGGCCUGGAAUAACACGAGGAAACUUGUGCUAAUACCGGAUAAGUCUUUACGGAGAAAGCUUUAUGCACCAUUGGAUGAGCCUGCACUUGAUUAGUUUGUUGGUGGGGUAAUGGCCUACCAAGACUGUGAUCAAUAGCUGAUUUGAGAGGAUGAUCAGCCACAUUGGGACUGAGACACGGCCCAAACUCCUACGGGAGGCAGCAGUGGGGAAUCUUGCACAAUGGAGGAAACUCUGAUGCAGCGAUGCCGCGUGAGUGAAGAAGGCCUUUGGGUUGUAAAGCUCUUUCGUCGGGGGAGAAAAUGACUGUACCCGAAUAAGAAGGUCCGGCUAACUUCGUGCCAGCAGCCGCGGUAAUACGAAGGGACCUAGCGUAGUUCGGAAUUACUGGGCUUAAAGAGUUCGUAGGUGGUUGAAAAAGUUGGUGGUGAAAUCCCAGAGCUUAGCUCUGGAACUGCCAUCAAAACUUUUCAGCUAGAGUAUGAUAGAGGAAAGCAGAAUUUCUAGUGUAGAGGUGAAAUUCGUAGAUAUUAGAAAGAAUACCAAUUGCGAAGGCAGCUUUCUGGAUCAUUACUGACACUGAGGAACGAAAGCAUGUGUAGCGAAGAGGAUUAGAUACCC
rnacentral:rRNA from 1 species